rnacentral:ncRNA from 2 species
CAAGGCCAAAUAGGGGUUCACAUGGUACGGCCCGUACUGAACCCGGGUAGGCUGCUUGAGCCAGUGAGCGAUUGCUGGC